AGAGUUUGAUCCUGGCUCAGAACGAACGCUGGCGGCAGGCUUAACACAUGCAAGUCGAACGCGUGUAGCAAUACACGAGUGGCGCACGGGUGAGUAACGCGUGGAUAUCUGCCUUUGGUUCGGAAUAACUCCGGGAAACUGGAGCUAAUACCGGAUGGUUCCUACGGGAUAAAGAUUUAUCGCCAAAAGAUGAGUCCGCGUACGAUUAGCUAGUUGGUGAGGUAAUGGCUCACCAAGGCGACGAUCGUUAGCUGGUCUGAGAGGACGAUCAGCCACACUGGGACUGAGACACGGCCCAGACUCCUACGGGAGGCAGCAGUGGGGAAUAUUGGACAAUGGGGGCAACCCUGAUCCAGCCAUGCCGCGUGAGUGAUGAAGGCCUUCGGGUUGUAAAGCUCUUUUGGCGGGGACGAUGAUGACGGUACCCGCAGAAUAAGCCCCGGCUAACUUCGUG
rnacentral:rRNA from 1 species